CCUACGGGGGGCAGCAGUAGGGAAUAUUGCUCAAUGGGGGAAACCCUGACGCAGCAACGCCGCGUGGAGGAUGAAGGUUUUCGGAUUGUAAACUCCUUUUGUUAGAGAAGAUAAUGACGGUAUCUCACGAAUAAGCACCGGCUAACUCCGUGCCAGCAGCCGCGGUAAUACGGAGGGUGCAAGCGUUACUCGGAAUUACUGGGCGGAAAGAGCGCGUAGGCGGGAUAGCAAGUCAGAUGUGAAAUCCUAUGGCUUAACCAUAGAACUGCAUUUGAAACUGUUAUUCUAGAGUAUGGGAGAGGUAGGUGGAAUUCUUGGUGUAGCGGUGAAAUGCGUAGAGAUCAAGAGGAACACUCAUUGCGAAGGCGACCUGCUAGAACAUAACUGACGCUGAUGCGCGAAAGCGUGGGGAGCAAACAGGAUUAGAUACCCGAGUAGUC
rnacentral:rRNA from 1 species